rnacentral:rRNA from 1 species
UGCAACAGAGCCAUAUCACCCUGCAGCUCUCCUGGUUUCGCACUAAUGCUAAGCAGGGUUGAGCCUGGCCAGUAUUUGAAUGGGAGACCUCCUGUGGAAAACUAAGGUUGCUGCUGGAA